rnacentral:rRNA from 1 species
GUCGGCCGCGGGGAUUGGAUUGGCGUAAGACAUGCAAGUCGAACGGCAGCACGGAGCUUGCUCUGGUGGAGAAAAGCGAACGGGUGAGUAAUAUAUCGGAACGUACCCUGGAGUGGGGGAUAACGUAGCGAAAGUUACGGUAAUAGCGCAUACGAUCUAAGGAUGAAAGUGGGGGAUCGCAAGACCUCAUGCUCGUGGAGCGGCCGAUAUCUGAUUAGCUAGUUGGUAGGGUAAAAGCCUACCAAGGCAUCGAUCAGUAGCUGGUCUGAGAGGACGACCGGCCACACUGGAACGGAGACGCGGUCCAGACUCCUACGGGAGGCAGCAGUGGGGAAUUUUGGACAAUGGGCGAAAGCCUGAUC